rnacentral:rRNA from 1 species
AUUGAACGCUGGCGGCAGGCCUAACACAUGCAAGUCGAACGAGUGGCGGACGGGUGAGUAAUGUCUGGGAAACUGCCUGAUGGAGGGGGAUAACUACUGGAAACGGUAGCUAAUACCGCAUACCAUCAGAUGUGCCCAGAUGGGAUUAGCUAGUUGGUGGGGUAACGGCUCACCAAGGCGACGAUCCCUAGCUGGCAUGAGAGGAUGACAAGACACACUGGAACUGAGAAACGGAGAAGCCUCCUACGGAAGGCAGCAGGGGGGAAUAAUGCACAAUGGGAGCAAGCCUGAUGCAGCCAUGCCGAGUGUAUGAAGAAGGCCUGCGGGUUGUAAAGUACUUUCAGCGGGGAGGCGUUACCCGCAGAAGAAGCACCGGCUAACUCCGUGCCAGCAGCCGCGGUAAUUC